rnacentral:rRNA from 1 species
CCUACGGGUGGCAGCAGUGAGGAAUAUUGGUCAAUGGGCGAGAGCCUGAACCAGCCAAGUCGCGUGAGGGAAGACGGUCCUAUGGAUUGUAAACCUCUUUUGCCGGGGAGCAAAAAGCGGUACGUGUACCGCACCGAGAGUACCCGGAGAAAAAGCAUCGGCUAACUCCGUGCCAGCAGCCGCGGUAAUACGGAGGAUGCGAGCGUUAUCCGGAUUUAUUGGGUUUAAAGGGUGCGCAGGCGGCGAGUUAAGUUAGCGGUAAAAUUUCGGGGCUCAACCCCGAAAAGCCGUUGAUACUGGCUUGCUAGAGAGGGCCAGAAGUAGGCGGAAUGCGUGGUGUAGCGGUGAAAGGCAUAGAUAUCACGCAGAACUCCGAUUGCGAAGGCAGCAUACCGGGGUACAACUGACGCUGAGGCACGAAAGCGGGGGUAGCGAACAGGAUUAGAUACCCGGGUAGUC